rnacentral:rRNA from 1 species
UAGGGAAUAUUGCACAAUGGGCGAAAGCCUGAUGCAGCAACGCCGCGUGCGCGAUGACGGCCUUCGGGUUGUAAAGCGCUUUUCGGGGAGAUGAGGAAGGACAGUAUCCCCGGAAUAAGGCUCGGCUAACUACGUGCCAGCAGCCGCGGUAACGCGUAGGAGCCAAGCGUUAUCCGAAUUCACUGGGCGUAAAGCGCGUGUAGGCGGCUUGGUAAGUUGGAUGUGAAAGCUCCUGGCUCAACUGGGAGAGGACGUUCAAUACUGCCGAGCUAGAGUGCGGGAGAGGGAGGUGGAAUUCCGGGUGUAGUGGUGAAAUGCGUAGAUAUCCGGAGGAACACCAGUGGCGAAAGCGGCCUCCUGGUCCGCAACUGACGCUCAGACGCGAAAGCUAGGGUAGCAAACGG